GAUGAACGCUGGCGGCGUGCUUAACACAUGCAAGUCGAACGAUGAAGCCCAGCUUGCUGGGUGGAUUAGUGGCGAACGGGUGAGUAACACGUGAGUAACCUGCCCUUAACUCUGGGAUAAGCCUGGGAAACUGGGUCUAAUACCGGAUAGGAGCGUCCACCGCAUGGUGGGUGUUGGAAAGAUUUAUCGGUUUUGGAUGGACUCGCGGCCUAUCAGCUUGUUGGUGAGGUAAUGGCUCACCAAGGCGACGACGGGUAGCCGGCCUGGGAGGGUGACCGGCCACACUGGGACUGAGACACGGCCCAGACUCCUACGGGAGGCAGCAGUGGGGAAUAUUGCACAAUGGGCGCAAGCCUGAUGCAGCGACGCCGCGUGAGGGAUGACGGCCUUCGGGUUGUAAACCUCUUUCAGUAGGGAAGAAGCGAAAGUGACGGUACCUGCAGAAGAAGCACCGGCUAACUACGUG
rnacentral:rRNA from 1 species